UGUUAGGUACAUUUUGUGUGAAAAUAUCAGUGAAUUCAAACACUGUUGGUGUGGAUCCAGCAACAGAAAGAAUAAAUAACACCCCCAGGAGACACACAAAAGAACCAAAAUUAAUAGAAACCUUUCUUUCCUUAAGGAACUCUGUUUUUAUUUCAGAAACUAAAACCAUUGUGGCUUCCUCACACAAUAUAUCCAAGGAACCCAGAAACUUCAUACAUCGGAAAAUGUAUUUUUUUUUACCCUCAUAUUCUCAGGGUAAGGAUUACCCUAGAUCUGUUUGUAGUACGUUCUGCUGUACAGACUGGUCUCUUGUGGUUUCCUGGUGAAUAUGUUUUCUGAAACAAAAAGCUUUUUCUUUAAACAAACUGCAAUAUGACUUUCAACAACUGACAAAACAAAACAGUGAACAUAUUCAGUAGUAUGUAGGAGUGGGUUUGGGGGCUUCUGUUUACAUGAAAUAAUUGCUUGAGGCAAUGAAUCAAGUCUCUGGCAUCUACUUUCGUCAGGACCUUACAAAUUCUUUUUUCUUUGUAUAAUAAUGUUUAUUCUCAAAGCACCCCCAACUACAGCCUUAAAAUGUCAGUGUGAUAAAUACAUUUCCCUUAGAAGUUGCAACAAUACUUCCUUUUUUUCCUAUACCAUAAAACUGUGGUUUCUGCUUCAGAUUCCUUUUCCUUAAUUUUCCUCCUACACUCAUUUUUCUCCAGUGCAACUUGCAUGAGGUUAUUCUUCAUAUCUAUCAACAUGAACAAAUGCAUUUCAGACAAAUCUUCUCAGAGAAAGAAAUAUUAUUCAACAAUUUUUGCAAAUCUCAAGCCUGUGUUGUUUAUUAUAUUUAAAUAAGAACAGAUUUUUCCAAAUUUCCAACCAAGUCUUGGUAAUCACCCAUGGUAUAUCAAUAAAAUAUGUUUUACUGCUUGCAGUCAUCAUAUGCUUUCCAGAAGUUGUUCCAGUAACAAGAGCACAUCCAAAUACAUUAUUUAAAUUAAAUAAAGAAAAACAAGCAAGAUCAGCCCAGCAGAGACUUCAGCAACACUCAUCAAUCUGUACAGCUUUGACUAUCUUGCUGAGGAAAUGCAUACUUGGUCUUUGUGAAGGUUUCUUGGGAAGAGUUCAUGGUGGUGCCCACAGAGUUCAAGUUUUGUGGAGCAGAGUUGAUGACCUACCCCAAAGCCUUCCUUCAUUUGGAACCCAUUACCAUCGUCAUGUGGUCCCCAGCAGAAGAAGCUGUCUGCCGAAGAAUAAGUCUAUGAUUUCACUCAACACCAAGCUCACGUGUCACCAAAGAUGCAGGACCUGUGACACUUUGGUGUCUGACAUCUCAGUUACCACUUCCCCAUGCUGUAUCUGCUGUGUAGCACACGAUACACAUCAAGCACAUUGGACAUGGUGUGCAUAUGGCAGUGCUGCAAUUGAUCUGCAUAGAGGUGAGAUCCACAGAAGACCAUUUUGAAUAAGGUCUUGGCAAAAGGUUCAACCAUGAUGCAUGGCAAAGAGACGAGAGAUUUCAGAAUGAUGUGUUGAAAUGCAAUUUCUUACACUCCUGUUGUUUGGGUUUUUUUGAUUGUUUUUGAUUGUGUUUUUUGUUUGUUUGUUUGUUUGUUUACUUUUUGAUCUCCCCCUGUAAUUUUUAUAUCAAAUUUUGAAAGUUUUAACCAAACUUACGACUUUGUUCUUUUGUGUUCUAAAGCCAGGGUUUAGAGAUGUAUGUGGUAUGUCAUCUAGAAGCAUAUAUGGAAAUCCAUGUGGUGAGAUUAUAAGUAGCAAUACAAAACAAACAGAAAAUAGAAUUUGUAUGGAAAAUAGUGUCAAAAGGAGGGGAAGGUGGAACAAAACAUUGGGAUAAAUAAAGAGUGUGAGGAAAGAGGAAGAGAAGGGAAA
rnacentral:lncRNA from 1 species